UUUUGAUAGGUUUGAUAUGAAAAGAAAUAUGGCAUCACAAAAAACACCAAAAAUGGCUUUUUCAAAGUGUUGAAAAACCUUUCUUCCGCGAAAAGACAAAAAACACAACUUUGAGCCUCAAUAAAAAAAAAAGUUUUCAUCCGAUUUUGAAUCUGUAAAAAGUUUUGUGAGAAGAAUGAUGAGAUCUACUUGAAAAGUUAAUAAAAUCAAAUGUAUAAUCAUAAUCUCAAAAUCACUUUUUCCACCUAAUAUAAGCCCCGACUUGUUUUCAGAUCCCACAAUCAUAUAGUGUACUUUUAUAGUAUGUAAAUAUUUAUUGAAUAGUGUCAGAAAAAACAAAACAAAACGGUGGUGAUAUUUUUAUACGCCCACAUUUUCAUGUGGAUGUACAUGUAUAUUAGAGAGGUUUCGCAACUUUACAUUUACAGUUACAUUUAGACGGUAAAACGUGAUCGGUUUUUGUGACGUAUGACGUAAAGCGCACGUCAUAAAAGUGUAGCAGACGGAUAGCAGCCUCCAUAAAUGUAAGUUCACAACACUUAGCUAAACCUUGUUUAAUUUCUAUGAUCAAGUCCAUAAUUGUUCUCUGAAUCGUGGUUUUCACGAACUACAUCCACAGAGAAGACCUUCUCCUAUACAAAAAGGGAGAGGCCGAAACAAAACAUGCAUGCUUUAGUAAUUCAACCAUCUAUCCGUGAUGUGCUCUAGAACUGCCCAUGACUAUGGUGCUAUGUAGGCCUAUCGAUAUCAUGGACCUGGCCUAGUCUGUGGCUACCUUGGGAAGACUUGGUUAUCCUUCACACUCUCUUUUGCAGUGGAAGGAAACCGAAGAACUUGGAGAAAUCUUACCAUGUUGGUAGGGGACCCUAAAUUUAGUAUAUUCUUGCCUCGUAUAACUACAAACAAGCUUAGAAAACCACCACGCCACUUGACCCGAUGACAGACAUUAUUUAUACCCAGUCUUACUUUACUUACGGUGUCAUUAACCACUAGUCAUUAUGAUCUAGGCUAAAGCGCACGCGUUAGACACCCCCCCCCCCCCCCAUGUUCUAUUUCUUUGGCGUUACUAAUAGGCCAAGUGGUAGUUCAAGUGCCGUAGGCUAGCCUAAUGAAAUACCUACUGCGCAUGAAAUCCAUUUUAUAUUUUUCAGCAAAAGUAGAUCAUUUGCCCUCAACAACAGGACAAGAAUGCCGUCGCCUUCAUUCGAUGAGCCCCAGAAUGUUAGAUUCUGGCCGGCGUUGGAUAUACUGUUACUUAAAGAAGUGAUCUCGAGGAGACCGAACGACUCAAAGUCAUGGGAUUCGGUGGCAAAGAGCGUCAAUGAGGUUCUGCAGAUCAUACGGCCAAAUUCUCAAGUUUCAGUUAGAGCUUGCAGAAGUCGGAAGCAAGAUUUAUUGCAGAAAUUUAAUAAGGAUGAGUUAUCGUCAUACAGAGCAUCCGGUACGGAUGAAGAAUAUGGGGAGAUUUAACAGAAAUAUGUAGUUUGGAAACUGAAGAGAAGGGAAAGGCUUCGGCAUUAGAUAGGAAGAAACAGGAACAGGGGGAAGACGUGAGACGACUGGCAAUGCAGACUCUUUCUGGGACCAAACGCACAUCUAUGGAAACUGAGGAAGAUGACACUGUAACACCCACCAAAAAGAGAAAAUCACACUCGUCAACACCAGCUGCAGACUACAUCACGUUUCUUAGGGAGAAACACGCGGAGGAAUCCAAGUUAAAAUGGGAACAACUAGAGCUAGAAAAGAAGAAAUUUGAAUUGGAGAAAGUAGAGAGGGAGGCAAGACUACAAAGGGACCAGCAGAUGAUGGAAUUAUUAAUAAGACUUACUCAGA